GUCAAGUCAUCAUGGCCCUUAUGACCAGGGCUACACACGUGCUACAAUGGCCGGUACAAAGGGUCGCCAACCCGCGAGGGGGAGCCAAUCCCAGAAAACCUAUCGUAGUCCGGAUUGGAGUCUGCAACUCGACUCCAUGAAGUCGGAAUCGCUAGUAAUCGCAGAUCAGCAUUGCUGCGGUGAAUACGUUCCCGGGUCUU
rnacentral:rRNA from 1 species